rnacentral:snoRNA from 1 species
CCCAGCUGCAGGCAACUGGCUAGGUUGCGCUAUACCUAGGCAGGUGUUACAUUGCUGGAAGAAAAGCUACUGACAGUUGGUGGGCAUUCUGGCUCGGCUUUAUGCCAAAUUUGUGUUAACUAUAACAGU